AGCAGCCGCGGUAAUUCCAGCUCCAAUAGCGUAUAUUAAAGUUGUUGCAGUUAAAAAGCUCGUAGUUGAAUUUCGAGAUCGGCUUACUGGUCGUGCUUUUGUACGUACUGGUAUAAUCGGUUUCUCCUUUCUGACGAACUUUAAUGCCAUUAAUUUGGUGUUUUAGGGAAUCAGGACUGUUACUUUGAAAAAAUUAGAGUGUUUAAAGCAGGCUCACGCUUGAAUACAUUAGCAUGGAAUAACGGAAUAGGACGUUUGAUUCUAUUUUGUUGGUUUCUAGGAUCGACGUAAUGAUUAAUAGGGAUAGUUGGGGCAUUAGUAUUCAAUUGUCAGAGGUGAAAUUCUUGGAUUUAUUGAAGACUAACUACUGCGAAAGCAUUUGCCAAGGAUGUUUUCAUUAAUCAAGAACGAAGUUAGGGGAUCGAAGACGAUCAGAUACCGUCGUAGUCUUAACCAUAAACUAUGCCGACUAGGGGAAUCGGAUGAUGUUAAUUUUUAAUGACUCAUUCGGCGCCUUACG
rnacentral:rRNA from 1 species